GAUAACAGGCUGAUCUUCCUCAAGAGCUUACAUCAACGAAAAGGUUUGACACCUCGAUGUCAGCUCUUCGCCACCUGAGAUUGUAGUAUGUUCUAAGGGUUGGGCUGUUCACCCAUUAAGGCGGUACGUGAACUAUGUUCAGAACAUCGUGAGAUAGUUU
rfam:Gossypium raimondii chromosome 7, whole genome shotgun sequence.